UACGGAGGAUGCAAGCGUUAUCCGGAUUUAUUAGGUUUAAAGGGUGUGUAGGCGGAUUGAUAAGUCAGCGGUGAAAUCCCACAGCUUAACUGUGGCACUGCCGUUGAUACUGUUGGUCUUGAAUGCAGUUGAAGUAGGCGGAAUGUGUAAUGUAGCGGUGAAAUGCUUAGAUAUUACACAGAACACCGAUUGCGUAGGCAGCUUACUAAACUGUGAUUGACGCUGAGGCACGAAAGCGUGGGGAG
rnacentral:rRNA from 1 species